AACUUUUAACAAUGGAUCUCUUGGCUCUCAUAUCGAUGAAGAACACAGUGAAAUGUGAUAAGUAAUGUGAAUUGCAGAAUUCAGUGAAUCAUCAAAUCUUUGAACGCACCUUGCACCUUUUGGUAUUCCAAAAGGUAUACCUGUUUGAGUGUCAUG
rnacentral:rRNA from 1 species